UACGAAGGGUCCAAGCGUUAUCCGGAUUUAUUGGGUUUAAAGGGUGCGUAGGCGGCUUAUUAAGUCAGUGGUGAAAGCCCGGAGCUCAACUCCGGAACUGCCAUUGAUACUGGUGAGCUUGAAUAUAGUUGAGGUAGGCGGAAUAUGACAUGUAGCGGUGAAAUGCUUAGAUAUGUCAUAGAACACCGAUUGCGAAGGCAGCUUGCUAAACUAUGAUUGACGCUGAGGCACUAAAGCGUGGGGAGCAAACAGG
rnacentral:rRNA from 1 species